rnacentral:rRNA from 1 species
AUUGAACGCUGGCGGUGGGCCUAACACAUGCAAGUCGACCGACAGCACAGUAACAUCUUUCUCCUACGGUUGGCGGGGGCCGGACGGGUAAAAAGUGCAUACCUAUCUAUUAGUUCGGGGUGAAUUACGGAAAGCGGCUUACAUUAAUGCUUAAUACUAGCAACGGGUGAUAGCAUAGGAUAAUACGGUCUUGCUCUCUAUUAUAAGCCGAUCCCCGCUUCACUAGCUAGUUGGUAAGGUAACGGCUUACCAAGGCAACGAUGCAUAGCCGAACUGAGAGGGUGAUCGGCCACACUGGAACUGAGACACGGUCCAGACUCCUACGGGAGGCAGCAGUAGGGAAUCUUCCGCAAUGGGCGAAAGCCUGACGGAGCAACGCCGCGUGAGUGAUGAAGGUCUUCGGAUCGUAAAACUCUGUUAUUAGGGAAGAACAUAUGUGUAAGUAACUGUGCACAUCUUGACGGUACCUAAUCAGAAAGCCACGGCUAACUACGUG